rnacentral:sRNA from 1 species
UAGUCCAAAACAUCACAGAUAGCAUCCC